GUUUUCAAUUUUAAGGUUGAAAAGUUUUCAGACUAUUUUGGUUAAGCUUAGAGUUAAAAUUGGUGAUGAGCAAAGCCCAUCGGCAGCCCACUUUCUUAACCCAAACCCAGCAAAGCGUUAGAGAGUAUCCAACCCUAAGCCAGCUCGAGUUAAAAGCAUGAAACUGCCAGAGACAUCAACGGUUCACAUAGUGUGGGUGGACAUCAAGAACAGAAAUAGACCGUGUUUAGCGGACUAGCCUGUCUUGGUCACUUUAGUAAUGAUCCAUCCGCAGGUUCACCUACGGAUA
rnacentral:misc_RNA from 1 species